UAUUAUUAUUAUUAUUAUUAUUAUUAGGCAAAUUAUAGGCAAAGAAUAAUAAUAAUAAUAAAAAAGUUAUUAACCGGUAUUUCUUUCACCCGAACCGGUUCAAAACGGUAAUAAUAUCAGAGGAACGCAUGCAGAAACGUUAAAAUAUCGAUUCUACUCGGAGUGAACCAACUGAAUUUUUUUAUUAUUAUUAUUUGUUUUCAAGCCCUGAAACAAACGUGGUAGUGUUAUCAUAAAUAUCUAUAUUUUGAUACCGAUACUGAAAUAUCUGACAUGGUUCCAUUCAUAGACAUAUAAAUACCUAGACGCCUCAUUGGCCGAUUUGAGCCGUUGCUGCGAUACGUCAACGCGUCCGCCAUGUUUGUGAGGGCAAGACUGCCUUAAAAAUAAAUGGAAGUAAACGGGGGAGCUGCGGUUUUUCUCGACAAAAACUCGAUAAAGAUUACAUUUAUCAACCGAUUUCAGAGGAGUACCUUGUAAAAAGGUGUUACCAGCGACCUGCAUGUGCCAGAGGUGUAUAAGGACUUUGACAGCACUGUCCCUUUAUUGACCACAAUGGCGAUGUCCAGUGAUGAUUCGUUGGUGGAUUCUGCUUUUGGUGAAAACUGCAUCAGAGGGGGAUGACUUCUCUGCUCCCUCAUAUACUGCAGGGACAACCUUGCAAGCAUAUGCAAAAGAUCUCCAGACAGCUGAAAGGAAAAAUAUGCCUAUUAAAAAUAAA
rnacentral:lncRNA from 1 species